CACGUACUCCCUCUGUCUAGAAAUACUUGUCGAAAAAAUGGAUAAAAAUGAAUGUAUCUAGAAGUAGAAUACGUUUACAUACAUCCAUUUCUCUGACAAGUAGUUCCGGACGAAGGGAGUAUUUC
rfam:Triticum aestivum genome assembly, contig: Triticum_aestivum_CS42_TGACv1_scaffold_644215_T_4BL-0.096718_4BS-0.048899